rnacentral:rRNA from 1 species
AGAGUUUGAUCCUGGCUCAGGAUGAACGCUAGCGGCAGGCUUAAUACAUGCAAGUCGUGGGGCAGCACAGUGUAGCAAUACAUGGGUGGCGACCGGCAGACGGGUGCGGAACACGUACGCAACCUUCCUUUAACUGGAGAAUAGCCCGGGGAAACCCGGAUUAAUACUCCGUAACAUUAUGAAGUGGCAUCACUUUAUAAUUAUAGCUCCGGCGGUUGAAGAUGGGCGUGCGUCUGAUUAGGUAGUUGGCGGGGUAACGGCCCACCAAGCCUACGAUCAGUAACUGGUGUGAGAGCACGACCAGUCACACGGGCACUGAGACACGGGCCCGACUCCUACGGGAGGCAGCAGUAAGGAAUAUUGGUCAAUGGACGCAAGUCUGAACCAGCCAUGCCGCGUGGAGGAUGAAGGUCCUCUGGAUUGUAAACUUCUUUUAUUUGGGAAGAAACCACCGAUUUCUAUUGGUG